rnacentral:lncRNA from 1 species
CAUGGCUUAGGAAGAGCUGUAAACGGGAGCUUGCCGGCUGGCCACCAGCUCAGGGGCCCUGGGGGCGGCCUCCGGGUUCUGCUCCCUGUUCUUCCCUUUGACCAAUGUCACUCCUGGACAGAUAACGGGACCAAACGCCCUUCACUUCCUCGAGUCCUCAUGUAUGUCAUGGUUCCUCUUUUAGGAAAACAUGAGUACAAGACGCAAAGCAAAAGAAGAGACUAAAGAAAGCCUUUACGAAAUCCUCACACCAUCUCCGGACGCAAAGCUUUCGCAUUCAGCUUGAGGAGCUAAACCAUUUCAAGCCAAGGUAGCAUCAGAUCACCUUUGGAUGUUGGAGAAUAUUUCCAAAAUCCACAUUAUAUACACUAUCCCAGGACGCAAAUCUGGAUUUAGAGCCCGAGCUGUACUGCUUUCUAGCAACAUGACCUUGGAUAAAUUCUCUACAGUUCAGUUUCCAUAGAUACGAAAUAAGAAAUUUUUUUUUUUUUUUGUGGGGGGUGGACGGAGUCUCGCUCUGUCGCUCAGGCUGGAGUGCAGUGGCGCGAUCUCAGCUCACUGCAAGCUCCACUUCCCGGGUUC